rnacentral:lncRNA from 1 species
CUUUUUUUUUUUUAACUAGCGGAGCCAUUCUUUGGCUUCCUUCAGUAUUCUGUCUGUUCUAGAAUUGCUUUGUUUUGUUCAGACAGGGUCUCAUGUAGCCCUGGCUGAUCUCAAAAUUGCUAUGUAGCCAAAGAUGACCCUGAACUUUUGAUCUCCCUCCCCCCCUGAGUGCUGGAAUGACCAGCUUGCACCAGCACACCCAGUUUACCAGCACAAGGCGUGGAAUCCGGGCAUCAGGCAGGCAUGCUUGGCUGUCCAGCAGAUCAAAGGACACAAGAUACAACACCAGGAAAUAAGUCUGACCUGCGCAAGCAGCAAGCAGCAAGCAGCAAGCAGCAAGCAGCAAGAAGCACACAAGGCUGUGAUUUGCGACAUGCUAGAUGAGUUGGUUACCUGUUAUUCUUCCUGCUUUCCUCUUAAAGCAGUUACCUACGCUGCAUGUGUGUCAUGUAUAGCUGCUGCUCUAUCAAGACUCUCGAUCGAUCUCAGGAGACAUGCUAAGUUAGCUUUGGUGAGUAUUUUCUACCUGUUUAUAUCCCGUA